GUUUCAGAUUUCUCGCGAUUAUUAUUUUCAUGCAGAUUCUGCUCUGAAAUAAUUAUGUGCAAUAAUUUCAAGGUACAACCGGAAAGAAUAUCAGAUUAAGCAACGGUCCUCUGCCUACCAUAUUGCUCGAUUACAUGAUAUUGUCAAUCACCAAAUGGAUUUCAUCUUCCAAAGGCAAUCCAUUCAGGACAUAACUAUUGGGCAAAGCCAAGAUCCUAAAGAGGUCAAGAGGCAGAGAGAUAGGGAGUGGUAUGCAAAAAACUAAAAGAUGAGAUUUCAGAGCGCAAAUUUUUGAAAAUGGCCUGCUGCCACGGAGGCUUGUGGGGAGGUCAGUUUACACCAUUCACUUUUCAAACUUCGUAUUAAGGUCUACAAUAAGAUGUACUUCCAUUUGACUGUACCAAGUACUCAAAAAGCGUUCGAGUAUUUGACACUCCUUAACCUGCACAGCUGCACUUCACCUUCUCCUGAGGUACCAGUAGACAUAUUGUACACACUCAGAGCUCAGGUUGGAGCCUUCUGAUCUAACAUUGAAUAUCAUGUUUAUGCUGCACCAUUUAGGGGUUUGAUGGAAAUUGUAGUAGGACUUACUUCUUGAUAGUGUUAUCGCUGGUAGGACUUAUAAUUUGACAUUAACAUGAAACUUGCACUGAGAUGUUGGAGCACCUUGCGGCUAGGUGCUGCUGCUCUGGAUAUUUUCAUAGGCAGGAGUGUACACAUACUAUUUCUUAUAUAGUUAGUUGAUAGCAAAAUGUAUUGUCUUAUGCAGUAACAUUGUUGUGUACCGUGCUAUGAUAAAACUCAGCGUACCAACGAAUAUAAAUAUGACAUUUUACUUGAUUGGAAAUUUAACACCACAUUUUUAUAUUAUUUUUCUUUAUCUUCUAAUAUUCUUAUUAUACCAUAGGCCUGAUAGUAACUUGUAUGUAUAAUUCUCUUCAUUUUGCAGAAUACCUUUGGGAAACUCUAUAUGAUUGGUUUUAUUUUAAUUUUUCAAUCUUGAUUAUGAUCUCAAAACAUCGCAGAGAAAUUUGAUGUUUCAGAGUGGCCUGGUCACCAUGCAAACUCUGAGGUAAACUCUGUAACCUGUUUUUUGUUUUGCUUGCAUGAAGCUUCCAUGCCCCCGAUGGAAAUAUGGAUCUUGAGAUAGCUUCUUGCAUGGACAUUAGCCUAUUAGGUAAUGCCGUGUGCUUUUAUACAUGUUGCAGCAGCAGAAUUGAUUUUUUUUUCAUAGUUGAUGCAAGUUGGCCAAAUUGGUUUGGACAUAUUAUGAUCAUAUGUGGUUCUGCACUAAUGUAGCAUUUGGUCAUUGAAAAUUUAAAUGUUUUUCUUGAAAGCUAGCCAGUUCCUGCAGCUAAUCUGUUUCUAAUAUAUGCAGUUGGUUGGCAUCAUAUUUUUGUACUGUACAAAACUUUGUCUAACACCUAAUCCUCUACUCUGUGUUACUGUACACAUGUCAGUGAUUUGAAUAAACACAAGGAUGCAACUCAGUAGUGAUCAAAAGUUGGCUUAAGAAAGAUGAUGAAAAUACUGAAAAAGACUGCUAGGAUGUAGGAUAGUUGUUUGGGAGCAAGAACCGGAUGAGUGGACAGAUACAUUUUCAGUUUCUAUAUAUUACCAUUUUGUCAUAACUAAGUAGUGGCCAAAUUAUUUCCUAAUUAGUUUUCAUGUUGAGCAUUUUACUAUCUCUAUCACCCUGUUCCGAGACUUGAUAUUGGUUACAUGUGUUCAAUCACCCCUUGCCAAAGAUGUUAAAUGUACAGCUCAAAAAAAAAAGAUGUUAAAUGUAGAAGCAGGGUUUGUAGCAAAUAUUCUUGUGCUUCCAGAUUUGGUGGUUUUAUUUUUAAUCUCUGUUUUGUUUUGUUUAUUUCGAAUCUUAUGUUACAUGAAUUGUUUUGUCGGUGAGAUCUUUUAGACGACAUUAUUAGUUUGAUGAACUAUUUAUAUUUACUUAAAAAAAUGUUUGACACAAUCUUAUGUUACAUGAAUUGUUUUGUCGGUGAGAUCUUUUAGCCGACAUUAAUAGUUUGAUGAACUAUUUAUAUUGACUUUUCACCGAUUCUAGCGGCGCUUAAGAUCUGUGGACUAAUGAUGAUACUUGAUUAUGCACCAGCUUCGAGUAAUCAAAAUCCCUAUACUAAUGCUGUAAUGCAAAUCCUUUCGCCAUCUAAUGCCAUUUAUCCACUUUCAGUUCUUUGGUAGCCCACGAUGGAUACUAACAGGUUUUAAAAGUGGAACUCAGCAUUUGCAAAUGUGGAUUAACAUGCCCUAGAGAUGCAAAUGGCUGAUGCUUUUGACCGCACUAAUGCCAGCAUCAAUCCCAUUGAAGAACCUCCAACGAAGAAGCUAAAAUCUGAUGGUGGAUCUAACCGCGCUCCAAGAUGAAGCAUGUGUUUGGCUGUAUGACAGAGGGAAGACAAUGAGAGUGUUCAGAGGUCUUCACCUUUACUUCCUUGCUCAAGGAUGAUCUAGGUAGAUUAGACAUCCAGGUCUGAAAUUAAUAAUAAGUAGUGGCAUGCACCCUUGCUCCUCACUAAUGAAAUUUUAAAUUUCAUAAGGGACUGCUGUGUAUAAAUAAAUGUUAAAUUUGUGUUGUCAUCUUUUUAGUGCGUAGAUUGCAAGUUUGUGCAGUACACCAGAGUAAGUAUAAUUUUUUUCCCCACUUAAGCAUAAAAAUGAAGUAAAUCAAUGUGUUCGAGUAUCUCGGACAGAUUUUGUAUUUUCAUAUUGUCAGUUUAUUUGGAUUUUGAGCAUGAGGUACAAACUGAAUCUCUCAUAAGUAUAUGAUUUUUUACGUUACUAUAUUAUUAGACCUCUUCAUUGAUUUGUUUAUUUUUUUCAGAAUUUAAUUUGUUUUAUAUUUACCUACUGCUUAGAAUGAGUGAAGAGAUUUCUAAGAUUACACGUGCAUUCAGAUAUUUUUUAGCUUGUUGUAAAUGUGUUUUAUAUUUACCUACUGUUUCUUACUUUCCUGUAGGUGCGAGUCCUGUAUAUUUUUUAGUUAAUGUUUUUCUAUUGUCUACUGUUGAACAUUGUGGAAAUUGCAUCAUUUCAUAAGGAUUGAGAUUUAUAGCAUCUUAGUAUUUUUUUGUAGUGUGCUAUGGUCGAUCGUUUUUGUUAUUUCAUGUGGCUUUGUUCAACUUUAGGUCAUUUACAACAGAGUAGGGCCAGAGUUGUCGAUUCUGGAAUGUUACCAUGAGUACGGUUGAGGAAGCUGACAACACCAUUUGGACGGUCAAUUCUAACCUUGAACUGAUCCUUCUGUUUUCCUUCAGCCAAGGAAACUGGAGAACUUAAAAUAUUGUGUUGUUAUAUUCACCACAGGUUAGUCCCUUUUCUCCUUUCUAAAAUUGCAAUUCCAUUUUACUUCUGGAUCUGAACCAUUUGCACAGAUGUUGUAAACCUUUCAUUCUCUAUGCUCCUUUCCAUACCAGUCAGCGGGAAUUGAGCUCUACCUUGCUGCAUAAUACACAAUGUUUAAAAUAGCUGGCUACAGGAUAUAGCCGCGGCCUCCCAAAACAGCUAUAACCCGGCUAUAGCCUGGCUAUAGCCGGCUAUUUAAGGAUUUUGACACCUUUUAGCGGGCUAAUGCAGUUAGCCGCACCAUGCGGGAAAGGC